rnacentral:rRNA from 1 species
AUACGGAGGAUGCAAGCGUUAUCCGGAAUUAUUGGGUUUAAAGGGUGCGUAGGCGGGACUGUAAGUCAGGGGUGAAAUACCUCAGCUCAACUGUAGCAUUGCCUUUGAUACUGCUGUUCUUGAGUACAGUCGAGGUAGGCGGAAUGUGGUGUGUAGCGGUGAAAUGCAUAGAUAUACAUAGGAACACCGGUUGCGAAGGCGGCUUCCUGAACAGGUACUGACGCUGAGGCGCGAAAGCGGGGGGAUCAAACAGGAUUAGAUACCCUGUUAGUCCACGCCGUAAACGAUGGAUGCUGGUUGUUAGCGAUAUAUCUCUAGUGCCUGAGCGAAAGCAUUAAGAAAUCCGCCUGGGGAGUACGGCGGCAACGAUGAAACUCAAAGGAAUUGACGGGG